UAUUAAAUAUGCACAACACUUAUAUUGGAACCAGGUCAGGAUCGGAAGAUAGCAGCCUUAACAUUCAAUAAGUGUGUGUGCUUUUUUGUAGGUG
rnacentral:SRP_RNA from 1 species